AACGCACCUUGCGCCCCUUGGCAUUCCGAGGGGCACACCCGUUUGAGUGUCGUGAAAUCAUCAAAACCCUUUUCUUUGAUCCCUAUUGUGGUCAGGAAAAGGAUUUUUGGACUUGGAGGUUUCAUGCUUGCUUUUGCUUUCAAAAGUGAGCUCCUCUCAAAUGAAUUAGUGGGGUCUGCUUUGCUGGUCCUUGACGUGAUAAGAUGUUUCAACGUUUUGGAUUUGGCACUGUCCCUUGGAUGCCUGCUUUUAACUGUCUCUCGAGACAAUGAUGGUGCUUCGGUCACCGGCCAAUCUACAUUGGCGGGGAGGCUGGACCCACAAAAAGAAAAGACCUUGACCUCAAAUCGGGUGAGACUACCCGCUGAACUUAA
rnacentral:misc_RNA from 3 species